CACAAGCGGUGGAGCAUGUGGUUAAUUCGAAGCAACGCGAAGAACCUUACCAGGUCUUGACAUCCCUGACAACCAAGAGGAUUUCGGGGCGGUUCCCCCUUCGGGGGACAGGGUGACAGGUGGUGCAUGGGUUGUCGUCAGCUCGUGUCGUGAGAUGUUGGGUUAAGUCCCGCAACGAGCGCAACCCUCGCCUCUAGUUGCCAGCAUUCGGUUGGGCACUCUAGAGGGACUGCCGGCGACAAGUCGGAGGAAGGUGGGGAUGACGUCAAGUCAUCAUGGCCCUUACGACCAGGGCUACACACGUGCUACAAUGGCGCAUACAAAGAGAAGCGACCUCGCGAGAGCAAGCGGACCUCAUAAAGUGCGUCGUAGUCCGGAUUGGAGUCUGCAACUCGACUCCAUGAAGUCGGAAUCGCUAGUAAUCGUGGAUCAGAAUGCCACGGUGAAUACGUUCCCGGGCCUU
rnacentral:rRNA from 1 species